rnacentral:tRNA from 1 species
UGGCUCACUUUUUCUCAGUAAUAGGAAAGAGGACCGGAAGAUCUGGCGUAUUGGAUUAAGAGCUAGGACGAGG